rnacentral:lncRNA from 1 species
AUUAUGGAUCCCCAUUAGUUCCUUCCAAGACAGUAGCUACACUUCAAAUCAAAUCAAAUCAAAUCAAAUCAAAUCAAAUGUUAUUUGUCACAUACACAUGGUUAGCAGAUGUUAAUGCGAGUGUAGCGAAAUGCUUGUGCUUCUAGUUCCGACAACCCCCCCCACCCCCCCCACACCCCCCCCCCCCUUUGGGCCCUUGUACUACUGAUGCUGGAACUACAGCCAAACCAGGUACUACUGAUGCUGGAACUACAGCCAAACCAGGUACUACUGAUGCUGGAACUACAGCCGAACCAUCUUUGCCAAGUACAACUUCUUCUACUAUUGCAACCACCGCUACGCCACCAAUUCAGUGUGAGAACGGAGGUACACCUGAAGGACAGUCUUGCAACUGUCCUCCUGACUUCCACGGGGAGACCUGCAGAGAUUUUAAAACUGACAUAGUGCCAGGUACGCUCAAUAGGACAGCGGUGGUUCAUAAUAUGGAAACUAAUUCCCCGUACAUAGAAAAAUAUAACGACAAAACUUCAACUGAAUACACAGACAAGGUCAAGAAUUUCACAACAGAGAUGGAGGAAUACUACAAGAGUAAAGGGAUACGGAAUUUCACAGUGGAAAACUUAACUCUGAGUAAUUGGUCAGCUAUAACCAUACCCUUGGGACGUGGUAUAGAGGAGAAAAGGAUGGAAAACUCCUUGUACAACCCCAAGGCAGGAUCAUAUCGUGUGAAGAUCAAACACAAUAUCAUUCUGACGGUUCUGAAUGAACCAGGAGCUGAGCAACAGUACAAGAACUUCGUAGACAACGUUAAUUUAGCUUUGGCGAAUAUCAAAUUGUGUUCAGCUCUUAACUCAGGAUGUCCUACGUUUACUGUUGAGUCAGUGGAGGACGUACAAGAAACGCCACUUGAUGAGAAAGCUGUAUGUCAGAAAACAAUCAACCUUGAUUUUGCUAAAUACUUUGAGCCUUACAAUAAAGACGGGAAGUUGCUCUGUUUGACGGCAUGUGACCCCAGACAUAAUAACACUAAAAACUGCAACAGCGGUAUCUGUGAAGUAACCAGAGCCGGACUGUCAUGCAAGUAAGUUCUAAACGUUAUAUUUAGUAUACUAGAUAAUUAUAUACAGUACACUACCAGUUUUAGAACACCUACUCUUUCAAGGGUUUUUCUUUAUUUAAAAAAAAAACUAUUUUCUACAUUGUAGAAUAAUAGUGAAGACAUCAAAACUAUGAAACAACCCAUAUGGAAUAAUGUAGUAACUAAAGAAGUAUUAAAUCAAAAUAUAUUUUUUAUUUGAGAUUCUUCAAAUGUACUAAACCGAUAGCUGGACAGUAGCAGAGGCCAACCAGAUACUACUGAU